CUGAGGAGCGUGCUGGAAGGUGGCACCGGAGCCCGGACCGUACACUACAGUGGGCCGGCUACCGGCGAGGUCCUGCGCGAAGCCACAUUCAUAAUAAUUUGGACGUAACGAGUCGCCGCUUUUAUAUUUGGAAAAGAGCGAGAGAAAGAGCACCAGACGGAGAGAGACGGAGGGGAGGGAGAGAGUGAGCGAGAGUCUGUUGUGGUGUUCCCCCUCACGGCCACAACUGACGAGCUGAUCUCGGUGACGACAAGCUGCCGGAGCGGGACCAUGAGACAAUGCCGCCGCCGCAAAAACAA